GCGAAAUAUUUGAGGCGUUACGUGAAGGUUCCAUUUAUACAUGAAAGAGUAACAAUGUCAAUCCAGGCGUUUUCCUUCCCUGUACCUGAGACCAGAUUUUUUUCAGGCUGGACAAGUCUUCAAAUUCAAGAUAAGAAGAGGAGACAUGAGCAGUGUUAAUGUGGAAGACAUGCUGUACUGUAUGUGGCGGUAGUCAGUGAGGAGCUGGAGGUUUUUUUAAGAUCAGGAUUAUCAUUUUGUAUUCGAUUUAGUAAACCUUGGGAAUAUUUCAUUCCUAAUCUGAUUUUGUUUUGCAGAAUGCUGUGCGUUCAGUACUUGCAAACCUGGAUGGUCUUCAUCCCUUCACCACCCAGCAUUUCAACAUUUUUCCUUUCCUUCCUUC
ensembl:lncRNA